rnacentral:lncRNA from 10 species
AGCUACUUGAUAAUUUCAACCAUACAAAAAUAAAACCACCAAAAUAUAAAAUAUCAAUCAAUCAGUCAAAGUGGAAGUAGAAAAAAAAACCUGCAAGAGUGUGCACUAAAAUAUUCAUAGUAAUAUUUUUGUGGUGGUGGAAACAUGGUAAUUUGGGUUUUCAUUCUUUUUUUCUUAUUUUUUAAGUCUAAACCUAAAUUUUUUGUAUACUUUCAUUAUUUAAAAUAUGAUAAUCAUUAAGAAGACAGAGAUGAAGAAAAGAAGGAAGUGGAGGCAAUGAGGAAAGGAGGGAAGAAGGAAGGAAGGAAAUCAUGCUUGAAAGAAGGUAUUUGUCUUUUUGCUACUCACAUUUAUGAAAACCUUGCCUGUUUAGGCCAUAAACCAAUACCUGCUCAUUUUUAGUUGUGGAACAUGUCAAGUUUUUUUCCGGAUGUGGCGGAGAUUAUGCAGCUACAAUGAAGCCAGAUUAAGAUUUCAGGAAAAUGGACAGAUCUCUACGUAAGUUACUAUAGGAAUAAUUGUAAUGAUGGAAUGGCUAAAGUAAACAGGAGGCAAAAUUUACAACUGUUGGCACACACAAAUGAGAAGCAAGUGAAGGCCCAAAUGAAAGGGGGUUGGAGCCUGAAAGUGACAGUUGAUGAGGAUGGGAGAUAGUACCAAGGGCAGGGGAGGGGCGUUGUUUAGGGAGAGACUGGCAGGGAUGCCAUGGAGUUGAAGGGGGUGCACAGGAGAGUGGUUAUUGAGCUGAAGUAAGGCAGGCACUGAGGGUGGGGCCUGAGCCGUCUGCUAGAAUGACUCCUAGUUGCUCUAGGGGUACCUUCAAAGACUCCUUGCCAAGUUCAAUGUCCCCAGAUGAUAUUCUAAUUUAAGGAAUUCCAAGUGAAACCUCAAGGGGCUUUUAUAAAGUGUUCCAUCUCUGAGCAGUCUGCCCAUUUUAAAGGCAGGGAUCCAUUAGCAUAGAUUUUGCUUCCCCUGCUUGGAGGCCAGCUAUGUCUCCGCUGGUAUUGCACAGUCCUUCAGACGCAUAGAACUAUAUGUAGGCUCCAUUUGCAAAAUUGCUGGAGGUGUUGCUAUUCAGGAUUCCCCCAGACCUAGGCUACUAUUGAAUACCUUGGGACUGAAGCUCUUUUAAUUUCCAAGCUGUAUGUGGGCAACAUGGAACAGCAUGGAAACUGACAGAUUGUCGGCAUGUUUUAAAGUCAGAGUAUGCCACAGAAAAAUCUAACUGCCUUAUAUUUUUUGACAAACCUGAAGACUUGUUAACAUUUUAAUUGACAAUUUCUGCAAAAGUGAUGGAAUAGAGCUGAACAAUGGUAUACAUUAUUUUUCUUCUUCCUAUGUGACUAGAAUGUUCUCCAAAGAGAUUGUUUUGCUUGCCAAUAAAAAGAGACACCUGGGAGCACCAUACUCUCUCCUGUUCCUCUGGGUAUCAUAUUUCCUUAUGACACCUGAAACUCUGAUGCCUUCUGGGUCCAUGAAAGCAGUGAGAUGAGCACAGGAAACCACGCUGAGGAUGGUUGAGCAAAAAGGUGACAUUGAGCCACUGGAUUAACCUGCCCAGAAACAGGAUAUCUUCAGAUUUCUUGUUAAGUAAGAAAAUGUAAUUUUGUUGAUUCUAAGUUACACUUUCUUUUGUUAGUUCAACAUCUCUGAAAUCAGAACAUAUUUUGCCAUGGUAAUAUCUUACCAUCACUGUAAUAUGUAAUAUCCUUACAUAGGUGUCAUUGCCUAUGCAUGUGUCAACUUGAUUGCUAUUCUCUGUGAUAUGACUGACAACUGCAGCCCUUUGACAGUUCAGUCGACAAACCAUUGAAGAUUAUUAGGGUAAGAAAUACUGCUUUCUGUCUGAAAACUUUCCAAUGACAUCUUCUGAAAAGACAAAGAAAGUAUCAGCAUCAAAAUUUGCGUAAUAGGCCGGGCGCGGUGGCUCACGCCUGUAAUCCCAGCACUUUG